UGUCCUACGGGGGGCAGCAGUGAGGAAUAUUGGUCAAUGGCCGAGAGGCUGAACCAGCCAAGUCGCGUGAGGGAAGAAUGUCCUAAGGAUUGUAAACCUCUUUUGUCGGGGAGCAAAAAGGCUCUGCGGAGUCGUAUUGAGAGUACCCGAAGGAAAAGCAUCGGCUAACUCCGUGCCAGCAGCCGCGGUAAUACGGAGGAUGCGAGCGUUAUCCGGAUUUAUUGGGUUUAAAGGGUGCGCAGGCGGCGUGUCAAGCAAGCGGUAAAAUUUCGGGGCUCAACCCCGUCGUGCCGUUGAAACUGGCG
rnacentral:rRNA from 1 species